AACGCACAUUGCACCUUUUGGUAUUCCGAAAGGUAUACUUGUUCGAGCGCCGUUUCAUAAUUCAAGCUCUAUUUGCUUGGUGUUGGAAUGAUUUGAGAGAUCAAAUCUACCAAAAUCUUUUGGCAUUGAAGUCAAAUCAAUAAGCGUGAUAAAUCUCGUUUAAAAUUUGAUGGUUAAUUGCCAGUGUUUUUGAAAUUGAUGGCCUCGGAUCAAGUAAGGUUACCCGCUGAACUUAA
rnacentral:misc_RNA from 1 species